rnacentral:rRNA from 1 species
UGGGGAAUAUUGGACAAUGGGCGCAAGCCUGAUCCAGCCAUACCGCGUGGGUGAAGAAGGCCUUCGGGUUGUAAAGCCCUUUUGUUGGGAAAGAAAUCCAGCCGGCUAAUACCUGGUUGGGAUGACGGUACCCAAAGAAUAAGCACCGGCUAACUUCGUGCCAGCAGCCGCGGUAAUACGAAGGGUGCAAGCGUUACUCGGAAUUACUGGGCGUAAAGCGUGCGUAGGUGGUCGUUUAAGUCCGUUGUGAAAGCCCUGGGCUCAACCUGGGAACUGCAGUGGAUACUGGGCGACUAGAGUGUGGUAGAGGGUAGCGGAAUUCCUGGUGUAGCAGUGAAAUGCGUAGAGAUCAGGAGGAACAUCCAUGGCGAAGGCAGCUACCUGGACCAACACUGACACUGAGGCACGAAAGCGUGGGGAGCAAACAGGAUUAGAUACCCUGGUAGUCCACGCCCUAAACGAUGCGAACUGGAUGUUGGGUGCAAUUUGGCACGCAGUAUCGAAGCUAACGCGUUAAGUUCGCGCCUGGGGAGUACGGUCGCAAGACUGAAACUUAAAGG